CUGCUGCCUUCCGUAGGAGUUUGGGCCGUGUCUCAGUCCCAAUGUGGCCGUCCACCCUCUCAGGCCGGCUACUGAUCGUCGCCUUGGUGGGCCGUUACCCCACCAACUAGCUAAUCAGACGCGGGUCCAUCAUAUACCACCGGAGUUUUUCACACCUGGCCAUGCGGCCAUGUGCGCUUAUGCGGUAUUAGCACCUAUUUCUAAGUGUUAUCCCCCUGUAUAUGGCAGGUUACCCACGCGUUACUCACCCGUCCGCCA
rnacentral:rRNA from 1 species